GGCAAGAUGGCCGAGUGGUCUAAGGCGCUGGCUUCAAAUUCCAGUAGAGAGAUCUGCGUGGGUGAAUCCCACUCUUGUCA